rnacentral:rRNA from 1 species
AGAGUUUGAUCAUGGCUCAGAGCGAACGCUGGCGGCAGGCCUAACACAUGCAAGUCGAACGGCUCUUCGGAGCAGUGGCGGACGGGUGAGUAACGCGUGGGAACGUGCCCUUUGGUUCGGAACAACACAGGGAAACUUGUGCUAAUACCGGAUGAGCCCUUCGGGGGAAAGAUUUAUCGCCAUUGGAGCGGCCCGCGUUGGAUUAGGUAGUUGGUGGGGUAAAGGCCCACCAAGCCGACGAUCCAUAGCUGGUCUGAGAGGAUGAUCAGCCACACUGGGACUGAGACACGGCCCAGACUCCUACGGGAGGCAGCAGUGGGGAAUCUUGCGCAAUGGGCGAAAGCCUGACGCAGCCAUGCCGCGUGAAUGAUGAAGGUCUUAGGAUUGUAAAAUUCUUUCACCGGGGAAGAUAAUGACGGUACCCGGAGAAGAAGCCCCGGCUAACUUCGUGCCAGCCGCCGCGGUAAUAC